AAAUAUGCAGCUUUCUUCACAUUCAAGAUUUCUUCAGCAUCCUUCACAGCAAGCAGGUCAGAAAACCCAUUGGUUAUAUCUGCAAUCUGCUGGAAACCGGCAGUCUUCAAUUUCUCAGCCCAAGUCUCUAAAAGAGUACCUUCAGGAGCCUCCUUGGCUAUGUAUCCAAUAACACUGGCAUUCGGCUGAGCAAGAAUAGCACGAAAUACAGCUUCCAUUAAUGCAGUCCCAUCAUCACCCUUUGCCUUGACAUGAAUAGNUAACAUCUAAACCCCCUGCAACAUCCCGAGCAGGCGCCCUGACAACUUCAAGCAAGGAAGCCUUCUUCUGGCUACACAAGAAAUGGAUCUGCUUCUUCGUGAAUACCAUUAUAGUCUCUGGGAACUCAUAACCCAGCAACCAAACGUUCAUAGCAGACGAUUUCAGGUACCGCAAAUCAUCUGAAGGCGGCGGCGUAGCUAUUGCUAGAGCAUCAGCAGACCCCCAUAGUUCAUCCUUAUGUUCAUUCCAAUGCGAGU
rnacentral:misc_RNA from 1 species